GCCGGGGUAGCUCAGUUGGUAGAGCAACUGAUUCGUAAUCAGUAGGUCGGGUGUUCGACUCACCUCUCCGGCACCA
rnacentral:tRNA from 2 species